rnacentral:rRNA from 1 species
GGCGGCANUUCUAACACAUNCCAGUCGAACGGUAGCACAGAGGAGCUUGUUCCUUGGGUGACGAGNNCCGGACGGGUGAGUAAUGUCUGGGAAACUGCCCGAUGGAGGGGGAUAACUACUGGAAACGGUAGCUAAUACCGCAUAACGUCGCAAGACCAAAGAGGGGGACCUUCGGGCCUCUUGCCAUCGGAUGUUUCNCAGAUGGGAUUAGCUAGUAGGUGGGGUAACGGCUCACCUAGGCGACGAUCCCUAGCUGGUCUGAGAGGAUGACCAGCCACACUGGAACUGAGACACGGUCCAGACUCCUACGGGAGGCAGCAGUGGGGAAUAUUGCACAAUGGGCGCAAGCCUGAUGCAGCCAUGCCGCGUGUAUGAAGAAGGCCUUCGGGUUGUAAAGUACUUUCAGCGAGGAGGAAGGNGUUGUGGUUAAUAACCNCAGCAAUUGACGUUACUCGCAGAAGAAGCACCGGCUAACUCCGUGCCAGCAGCGGGG